rnacentral:rRNA from 1 species
GACAGAGGGUGCAAACGUUGCUCGGAAUUACUGGGCGUAAAGGGCGCGUAGGCGGCCUGCUAAGUCGAACGUGAAAUCCCCGGGCUCAACCCGGGAACUGCGUCCGAUACUGACAGGCUUGAAUCCGGGAGAGGGAUGUGGAAUUCCAGGUGUAGCGGUGAAAUGCGUAGAUAUCUGGAGGAACACCGGUGGCGAAGGCGGCAUCCUGGACCGGUAUUGACGCUGAUGCGCGAAAGCCAGGGGAGCAAACGGG